rnacentral:rRNA from 1 species
ACUACGGGAGGCUGCAGUGGGGAAUGUUGCGCAAUGAUCGUAAGAGUGACGCAGCGACGCCGCGUGAAUGACGAAGGCCUUCGGGACGUAAAGUUCUUUCGACAGGGAAGAAAAUGCCUAUAAGUAACUGUGUAUGUAUUGACGGUACCUGUAGAAGCAGCCACGGCUAACGCCGUGACAGCAGCCGCGGUAAUACGGAGGGGGCGAGCUUUGUUCGGAUUGACUGGGCUUAAAGAGGACGUAGGCGGGGUGGUAAGUCAUUAGUCAAUGCCUAGGGCUCAACUUUAGUACGGCUAGUGAUACUUUCAUACUUGAGUAUCAGAGAGGAUUGCCGAAUUCCUGGUGUAGCGGU